CUAAUUUCCCAAAUUAAAAACCCCAAGUUCCUAAUCAGAAAUCCUAACCUACCCAUUUUCUUCUCCCUUCAGCCGCCGAGCCCCACCCCCUUCACCCCCUCUCACACAGACAGCAUACUCACUCUCAUCAACUCAUAUCACACACACCCACACUCAACAGAGACAAAGGAGAGAAGAAAAGAGGGAGCCGUCGCCACGCAGCCGCCGUCCUGUCGCCAACGCCGUCGCGGGGGAAGACCGGAGCCGAGGCAGGGAGUAGCGCCGGGAGGGAGAGGGGCCGCCGUCGCGUCCUGUUCACCAUCGCCGUCGAUCUGCCAUGGAGCCACAAGCUUGCGUUACUGCCGAUCUGUCCACAAGCAUUCGUCGAGGGGACAUAAUCGCGAAGAGAGAGAGACGCACGAAGAGAAGCCCGCGACCAGCCUUGUCGCCGUCAGUGCCGCGGGUUGCCGUCGCCAUCCUCGUGAGCUGCCACCGCGUCGCCGUUACUGAGCUGCAGUGCCGCUGUUGUAUCACUAAGCCGCCGCUGGAGGAGGAAGGCCCGCCAAUUCUGCCUCUGCUUCUAGUUUCUGGAAUCUGAGAAGAAGCCACUGCCACUGCUGGAACCGUUGGUUUUGUUGCUCUGUCCUUGCUUUAGAUCCACUCUGAGGCGUUACCAUCGCUGUUUGGCUGACACUGAGGCUUUUCACUGCCACCGGAGCUGCCCAGGACCACCGCUGUGGCUGCUAUGGGAACAGAGCGGGUGCCAAAACCUAACAGAGUGCCGUUAUUGUCGAUUAGAGAUGCCAAAACCACUACUGCUGCUGUUUGGCUGAAGCUGAGACCUUUCACCAUCACUGGAGCUGCCCAGAAUCAUCAUGGUAGCUGCUAAGAGAGCAGAACGGAUGUUAGAACUGCCAAUGGAGCUGCUGGGUUUAGUGAUUUCCGCGAGUUUCGACUUUGAGUGAUACAGGUUCGAAGACACAGUGUGAAGCUGGGGCGAUUGUUAGACCUUAUUUAUGAGUUAAGUUUUUGAAUUGAGUUGUUUUCAUAGAAUUCCCUCGCCCUUGUUACUUUAGUUUUUAUUUUACACAGAGGGAUAGGAUUUGUAUCUAAGUUUUAUUUGAAAUCUUUUGUAUGACAGAUAUUAUUAUUAGUAAUUAUGUGAUUAUUAUUAUUUGGUGAUG